rnacentral:rRNA from 1 species
UACGAAGGGUGCAAACGUUGCUCGGAAUUAUUGGGCGUAAAGCGCACGUAGGCGGAUGUGUCAGUCAGGGGUGAAAUCCCGGGGCUCAACCUCGGAACUGCCUUUGAUACAGCACGUCUUGAGUCCGAUAGAGGUGGGUGGAAUUCCUAGUGUAGAGGUGAAAUGCGUAGAUAUCAGGAGGAAUACCGGUGGCGAAAGCGACUCUCUGGACGGCAACUGACGCUGAGGCACGAAAGCGUGGGGAGCAAACAGG